AACGAACGCUGGCGGCAUGCCUAACACAUGCAAGUCGAGCGAGACCUUCGGGUCUAGUGGCGCACGGGUGCGUAACGCGUGGGAACCUGCCCCUAGGUUCGGAAUAACUCCCCGAAAGGGGUGCUAAUACCGGAUAAUGUCUUCGGACCAAAGAUUUAUCGCCUUUGGAUGGGCCCGCGUUGGAUUAGCUAGUUGGUAGGGUAAAAGCCUACCAAGGCGACGAUCCAUAGCUGGUCUGAGAGGAUGAUCAGCCACACUGGGACUGAGACACGGCCCAGACUCCUACGGGAGGCAGCAGUGGGGAAUAUUGGACAAUGGGCGAAAGCCUGAUCCAGCAAUGCCGCGUGAGUGAUGAAGGCCUUAGGGUUGUAAAGCUCUUUUACCCGGGAUGAUAAUGACAGUACCGGGAGAAUAAGCUCCGGCUAACUCCGUG
rnacentral:rRNA from 1 species